rnacentral:tRNA from 1 species
CCUUCGAUAGCUCAGUUGGUAGAGUGGAGGACUGUAGGUGGGAUGAUGGCAAUCAUUAGGUCGCAGGUUCGACUCCGGCUCGAAGGA